rnacentral:rRNA from 1 species
CCUACGGGAGGCAGCAGUGGGGAAUAUUGCACAAUGGGGGAAACCCUGAUGCAGCGACGCCGCGUGAGUGAAGAAGGGUUUCGGAGCGUAAAGCUCUGUCCGCAGGGAAGAAGAUGACGGUACCUGACCAAGAAGCCCCGGCUAACUACGUGCCAGCAGCCGCGGUAAUACGUAGGGGGCAAGCGUUAUCCGGAUUUACUGGGUGUAAAGGGGGCGCAGACGGGAAGGCAAGUCAGGAGUGAAAGCCCAGGGCUUAACCUGGAGACUGCUGUUGAAACUGGAUGGCUGGAGUGAAGGAGAGGUAGGCGGAAUUCCGAGUGUAGCGGUGAAAUGCGUAGAUAUUAGGAGGAACACCGGUGGCGAAGGCGGCCUACUGGACUGUAACUGACGUUGAGGCUCGAAGGCGUGGGGAGCAAACAGGAUUAGAUACCCGAGUAGUC